rnacentral:rRNA from 1 species
UACGUAGGGAGCAAGCGUUGUCCGGAAUCAUUGGGCGUAAAGAGCGCGUAGGUGGCUUUAUAAGUCCGUUGUGAAAGUCAAAGGCUCAACCUUUGAAAGCCGAUGGAUACUGUGAAGCUAGAGUACGGAAGAGGCGAGUGGAAUUCCUGGUGUAGCGGCGGAAUGCGCAGAUAUCAGGAGGAACACCAAUAGCGAAGGCAGCUCGCUGGGACGUUACUGACACUGAGGCGCGAAAGCGUGGGGAGCGAACAGG